AUCUGUGAAGCAGCUCCCCUGUCCUCCCACUCGAUCAUGUGUGGAGAGUUGCCAUGGUAACGCACAGCAAUGCUCCACACAGAUUGCUUGCGGGAGGACAGGGGAGCUGCUUCACAGAU